rnacentral:tRNA from 1 species
GCCUUCGUGGUGUGGUGGUCAGCACGCUUGACGUAUAUUCGAGAGGUUCAUGGUUCGAGUCCGGGCGAGGGCA